CAUAAUUGCUUUAAUCAUAGUUUGGUUUAUAAUAGCAAAGUUGUUUUUACAACUAUAGCAAUAAAUGCUUUGUGUAAUAGAAUUAGACGGACCCGGGGGCGGUACCCGGCGCCUCCACCAUAAAAUGAGGGGGCGAAAUAGGUUUGACGUUAGUUUAAAGAUAAAGACUUUGCUCGGUAUGGUACCACCGUUAUCGGACUAAAAUUAUAAAUGCUAACGAUA
rnacentral:tmRNA from 1 species